CACCGACUUGUCAGCUGUGACGCACACCAUGUCCUAGACAGUGACUCUUCAAUGGCGUCCUCCUGAACGGUGUUCAAGAAGGAAGGGACAUUCAACUACUGGAAAGCCAGGGCGCGGUAAAUAUCCAUCAUCGAAAACCAGAUCGUACCUGUCAGCUUUGAAGCACACAACAUCCUAAAGAUUGACUCCUUCAUGGUGUCCUUCUGAAAGUUUUCGUCAGAAUUGGUUUCCAACAAAAGGCUAAGAUAUCAUGAUCGAAGUCCGGACGAGUUGUCCUACAGUAUCUUGACGGUCCUCACCAGCCCCGGUCCUGCUCAUCCUCGGUCCCAGUGAGAGACAGUGCAGCUGUCUGACGCCACUCAAACAAGAAGGAAGGAAAUUUCACCUACUGGAAAGCCAAGAUGACGAGCUGACGUUUACUAGAAAGACUAGAAUGGCGUCGGGUUCAAACAAAGAUGAAG